rnacentral:lncRNA from 1 species
UAAUUGUUACAAAGUUGUGUGUCUAGAAAGUGGAGAAAAGGGACCUAUUUAUACUAAAAUACAAAGCACUACUGUUGAAAUCUGCCCGAUGUGGGACUAAUUUCACAACACGCGUCACCGUCAGAUUGAAUUUUGAGGGACGGUCAUGAUGGAAAAGUGGCAGGCGCCACUUUGGUUCCUUGUGGCAGGCGCCACUUUGUUUGUGCUGGCAGGCUUGAAUUGCUUUUGAGUGGGCUGCACACGUGUGGCCCAAUUGGUUGCACGUGUGUGGCCCUUUUUGUCCGGUUUUGCUCCUUUCUGGUCCGUUUUCGCUCCUUUCUUCAACUCGUGCAAUUUUUAUCUGUUUAUUUAAAAUACGAGAAAUAAGUAACAAUUCAUAAUAUAAAACUUCGGAAUCAAAAUAAAAAUAAUUAAAAUAUAAUAGUAAAUUAACUAAAUAAAUAGCAUAUUUUUAGGUGCAUCAUAAACAAGUCAAAGCUGUCUGCAUACUUAAAUGCAAUGUAAGAAAAGCAAAUUUUGCCUCCAAAAGCUUUAAGCACAGAACCUGAAAAGCAAACCAGCCAGCUUUCCAUAA